CAGCGAGAAGCUGCGGAACAUCCUGCAGGUCCUGCUGAGCUUCACCAGCUCUGAGAGCGCCGUGGUGCGGGAGAGGGCCCUGGGGAGGAUCAGGACCCUGAGCCAGUUGCUGCUUCACCAUCACACACUGAGGGGCUUGCACCCGACUGAAACAGACCUAUGCAGCCCUGUCUCCCAAGAAGAACUCUCAGUCCCGCUCCUGGGACAGCUUCUGGGUCGUCUCAUCCUUUUCCGAUUUGCCAAGGAUGAGGCAAGCUCUCCAGCUUGGAGUGCUCUUUGGUG